rnacentral:rRNA from 1 species
AGAGUUUGAUCAUGGCUCAGGACGAACGCUGACGGUGUGCUUUAGGCAUGCAAGUCGAACGAGAAAGCCCUUCGGGGUGAGUAAAGUGGCGAACGGGUGAGUAACACGUGGGCAACCUGCCCCUCGCAGGGGGACAACCGGAGGAAACUCCGGCUAAUACCCCGUACGCUCUCAGGGUCGCAUGGCCCUGUGAGGAAAGGUAGCUUCGGCCAUCCGGCGAGGGAUGGGCCCGCGGUGCAUUAGCUAGUUGGUGGGGUAACGGCCCACCAAGGCAACGAUGCGUAGCUGGUCUGAGAGGAUGAUCAGCCACACUGGGACUGAGACACGGCCCAGACUCCUACGGGAGGCAGCAGCCAGGAAUCUUGGGCAAUGGGCGCAAGCCUGACCCAGCAACACCGUGUGGGCGAUGAAGGCCUUCGGGUCGUAAAGCCCUGUUGAUAGGGACGAAGGGCGAAGGGUUAAUAGCCCCUAGCCUGACGGUACCUUUCGAGGAAGCCCCGGCUAACUACGUGCCAGCAGCCGCGGUAAUACGUAGGGGGCGAGCGUUGUCCGGAUUUAUUGGGCGUAAAGAGCGUGUAGGCGGUUCGGUAAGUCUGUCGUGAAAUCCUGGGGCUCAACCCCGGGCGUGCGAUGGAUACUGCCGGGCUAGAGGAUGGUAGAGGCGAGUGGAAUUCCCGGUGUAGCGGUGAAAUGCGCAGAUAUCGGGAGGAACACCAGUAGCGAAGGCGGCUCGCUGGGCCAUUCCUGACGCUGAGACGCGAAAGCUAGGGGAGCGAACAGGAUUAGAUACCCCCGUAGUCC